rnacentral:rRNA from 1 species
UUUGUUACUUCAAACCAAUCGGACUUCGGUCUGACAUCAAGUGAUAUUGAACAAUUUAGCUGAUCGCACGGUCUAAGAACCGGCGACAUAUCCUUCAAAUGUCUGCCUUAUCAACUUUCGAUGGUAGAUUAUGCGCCUACCAUGGUUGUGACGGGUAACGGAGAAUCAGGGUUUGAUUCCGGAGAGGGAGCCUGAGAAACGGCUACCACAUCCAAGGAAGGCAGCAGGCACGCAAAUUACCCACUCCCGGCACGGGGAGGUAGUGACGAAAAAUAACAAGCUGGUCUCAAUGAGUUCCAGCAUUGUAAUGGGAACAAUUUAAAUCUUUUAUCGAGGAUCUAUUGGAGGGCAAGUCUGGUGCCAGCAGCCGCGGUGAUUCCAGCUCCAAUAGCGUAUAUUAAAGUUGUUGCGGUUAAAAAGCUCGUAGUUGGAUCUAGGAUUAGGGCUACGGUCGUUCAGCUUGGACGUACUGUAUGCCCGACUCCUUUUCUCUAGUAUUCGAUUGUUGCUCUUAAAUGAGUGACCUUAGUUGCUGGAACUUUUACCUUGAAAAAAUUGAAGUGCUCAAAGCAGGUU